rnacentral:rRNA from 1 species
AAGACCCACCACAGAAGGUAAUAGUCCUGUAUGUUAAACGAGAAGACUUUAGAUAUGAUCCAGAGUACCACGGGACACGUGAAACCCUGUGGGAAGCAGGAGGGACCACCCUCCAAGGCUAAAUACUACCUAGUGACCGAUAGCGUAUAGUACCGUGAGGGAAAGGUGAAAAGAACCCCGGGAGGGGAGUGAAAUAGAACCUGAAACCCUGCACUUACAAGCUGUGGAAGCACAUUUCUUGUGUGACCGCGUACUUUUUGUAGAACGGGCCAACGAGUUACGUUAAGUAGCAAGGUUAAGCACUUAAGGUGCGGAGCCGUAGCGAAAGCGAGUUUUAACUGAGCGUUCAGUUACUUGACGUAGACCCGAAACCGGGCGACCUACCCAUGAGCAGGAUGAAGCGAAAGUAAAAUUUCGUGGAGGUCCGAACCCACGAGCGUUGAAAAGCUCGGGGAUGACUUGUGGGUAGCGGUGAAAUUCCAAUCGAGCCCGGAGAUAGCUGGUUCUCCCCGAAAUAGCUUUAGGGCUAGCCUCAAGGUGAGAGAUACGGAGGUAGAGCACUGAAUGUCCUAGGGGGUAUUGCACCUACCGAAGACUAUCAAACUCCGAAUGCCGUCAUCUUAUACUUGGGAGUCAGACUGUGGGUGAUAAGAUUCAUAGUCGAAAGGGCAACAGCCCAGAUCGUCAGCUAAGGUCCCUAAAUGUAAGUUAAGUGGUAAAGGAUGUGGGAUUGCACAGACAACCAGGAUGUUGGCUUAGAAGCAGCCACUCAUUCAAAGAGUGCGUAAUAGCUCACUGGUCGAGUGAUCCUGCGCCGAAGAUUUCCGGGGCUAAAACUUACUACCGAAGCUACGGCAUCAGUAAUGAUGGGUAGGGGAGCUUCCCAUACGGGUUGAAGCAUGACCGUAAGGACAUGUGGACAGUAUGGGAGUGAGAAUGUUGGCAUGAGUAGCGAGAUGUGGGUGAGAAUCCCACAGGCCGUAAACCCAAGGUUUCCAGGGGAAGGUUCGUCCGCCCUGGGUUAGUCGGGACCUAAGCUGAGGCCGAAAGGCGUAGGUGAUGGACAACAGGUUGAUAUUCCUGUACUACCGAUAACCGUUUGAGAGAAGGGAUGACACAGUAGGAUAAGCUAAGCACACUGUUGGUUAUGUGUGCCCAAGCAUUGAGGCAGUCAAAGUAGGCAAAUCCGCUUUGAUAAUGCUGGGAUGUGAUGGGGAGCGAAAUUUAGUAGCGAAGUAGCUGAUUUCACACUGUCAAGAAAAGUCUCUAUCGAGGUUAAAGGUACCCGUACCGCAAACCGACACAGGUGGGUGAGGAGAGUAUCCUAAGGCCAGCGAGAGAACUGUUGUUAAGGAACUCGGCAAAAUGACCCCGUAACUUAGGGAUAAGGGGUGCCACCAUCAGGUGGCCGCAGAGAAUAGGCCCAAGCGACUGUUUACCAAAAACAUAGGUUUCUGCUAAGUCGCAAGACGAUGUAUAGGAGCUGACGCCUGCCCGGUGCUGGAAGGUUAAGGGGAUCUGUUAGAGCAAUCGAAGCAGUGAACUUAAGCCCCAGUAAACGGCGGCCGUAACUAUAACGGUCCUAAGGUAGCGAAAUUCCUUGUCGGGUAAGUUCCGACCCGCACGAAAGGCGUAACGAUUUGGGCACUGUCUCAACAACAGACUCGGUGAAAUUGUAAUUCCGGUGAAGAUGCCGGAUACCUGCGACAGGACGGAAAGACCCCAUGGAGCUUUACUGUAGCUUGACAUUGGGUCUUGGUACUACAUGUACAGGAUAGGUGGGAGGCUUUGAAACCAGGACGCCAGUUUUGGCGGAGCCAUCCUUGGGAUACCACCCUUGUAGUACUGGGACUCUAACCAUAGGCCAUGAAUCUGGUCUUGGGACACUGUCAGGUGGGCAGUUUGACUGGGGCGGUCGCCUCCCAAAAGGUAACGGAGGCGCUCAAAGGUUCUCUCAGUACGGUCGGAAAUCGUACGUAGAGUGUAAAGGCAAAAGAGAGCUUGAUUGCAAGACAUACAGGUCGAGCAAGGAUGAAAAUCGGACUUAGUGAUCCGGUGGUUCUGCGUGGAAGGGCCAUCGCUCAACGGAUAAAAGCUACCCUGGGGAUAACAGGCUUAUCUCCCCCAAGAGUCCACAUCGACGGGGAGGUUUGGCACCUCGAUGUCGGCUCAUCACAUCCUGGGGCUGUAGUAGGUCCCAAGGGUUGGGCUGUUCGCCCAUUAAAGUGGUACGCGAGCUGGGUUCAGAACGUCGUGAGACAGUUCGGUCCCUAUCCGUCGCAGGCGUAGGAAAUUUGAGAAGACCUGUCCUUAGUACGAGAGGACCGGGAUGGACGUACCUCUGGUGUACCAGUUGUCCUGCCAAGGGCAUGGCUGGGUAGCUAUGUACGGAAUGGAUAAGCGCUGAAAGCAUCUAAGCGCGAAGCCAACUUCAAGAUAAGAUUUCCCACCGCAAGGGUAAGACCCCAGAAAGACUAUCUGGUUGAUAGGUCGAAGGUGUAAGUGCAGCAAUGUAUUUAGCUUAUCGAUACUAAUAGGUCGAGGACUUGACCAA